UUUAAAAGUAGACCCAUUUUCACAAAUAAAAACAAAAAUGGGUCAUUUUUAUCAAUUUCCUUCAAAUUUGCCCGUCUUCUUCUCCGUGUUGGGGUUAGAGUUCUAAGCACUAGCCAAUAUCAAUGGCGAAGAGAUCAGUAGGAUUGCCCUUCUCUCGCCUUCUCCUCAAUCGAGCCCUCAAGAACCCUAUGGGCGCAGCAUACCAUGGAUUUUACCCCUCAGCUCGAACCCCAAAUCCAUCUCUGUUGGGCAGACCCUUCUGUUCCACUUCCACACCUACAGCCGUGCAGCAUCUUCUUGCCAAGCUGGAGAUGGAGAAGCAUUUGAAGUUGAUGGAAUCGGAUUCUGAUGAGAAAUUGAUUGACGUGAACAGAACAAGAAAUGCUAGACAGAAUGGGCUCGAAGAAGCACUUACUUUGUAUGAGGAAAUGGUUGGAAGUGGAAUCUUCCCUGAUGUAGUUACUUAUGGUUCCAUUUUAUAUGGUCUUUGUAAGCAUGGAAAGUUGUCUGAAGGAAAACUGCUUUUGAGAGAGAUGGGAAAGAUGGGUAUGAAUCUAAAUAAUGUCUCAUAUACUAUUCUACUUGAUGCAUUGUUUAAGGCUGGAAAAGUUGCAGAAGCAUUAAUGACGCUAGGUUGUAUGAUUGUGCGUGGGAAUAACUUUGAUGUAAUAGCAUGUACUGUUCUGAUUGAUGGAUUCUUCAAGAAUGGACAAAUAAAAGAGGCCGAGUAUCUAUUCUGCAACUUAUAUCAACUUAAUCUUGUUCCAAACUAUAUCACAUAUUCUGCCUUAAUUGAUGGCCGUUGCAAGCUAGAAGACAUAAAUGGUGCUGAAUCUGCACUGCAUGAGAUGGAGGAGAAAGAUUGUGUCCCUAAUGUCAUCACCUAUUCAUCUAUGAUCAAUGGGUAUGUGAAGAAAGGACUGCUUCAUGACGCAUUUAAAGUAUUGAGAAAAAUGGUUCACAAAAAUGCCAUGCCAAAUAUAUAUACAUAUGCAAUUCUACUUGAUGGUUCCUUCAAGGCUGGUUGGCAAGAUAUUGCCCUUGAUCUUUAUAGCAAAAUGAAACAGGGGGGAUUGAAGGAUAAUGUUUUCAUACUGGAUGCGUUUGUGAACAACAUGAAAAGAAGUGGAAGGAUGGAGGAAGCUGAGGAACUUGUUGCAAAAAUGGCAUCUGGAGGAUUAAAACCCGACCUAGUCAACUACACAAAUUUGAUGGAUGGGUUCUUGAAGUCUGGGAAAGUAUCAUCUGCUCUUAACCUGGCUCAGGAAAUGACUUCCAAGAAUGUGGUGUUUGAUAUUGUUACUUUCAAUGUGUUAAUUAAUGGUUUGUUCAAGCUUGGGAAAUGUGAUACAGGAUCAAUUUACUCAACAAUGAGGGAGAUGGGUUUAUCUCCAGACUUGGCAACGUACAAUACCAUGAUAAAUGGUUAUUUUAAGAAGGGGAACUGGAAAAGUGCCCUGGAGUUGUGGAAUGAGAUGAAAAGCAGAAAGUUGGUACCAAGUGCAAUCACAUGUAACAUUAUGAUUAAUGGUCUUUGUGAAGCUGGAAGGAUGGAAAAUGCAAUUGAUAUUUUAAAAGAAAUGGGUUUGAUGGGUUUGUACCCCACAUCCACUACUUAUAGAAUUUUACUCAAUAUAUCCUCAAAGAGUAGAAGAGCUGACACUAUUUUACAGACCCAUGAGUUGCUUGUUAAUAUGCACCUUAAAGUCGAUAAGGAUGUUUACAAUAUCCUCAUAAGCAACUUAUGCAAACUAGGAAUGACUAGAAAGGCAACUGCAGUGUUGAAAGAUAUGGAGGAAAGAGGAUUUAUAGCAGACACCACAACGUACAAUGCCCUGAUUCAUGGAUACUGCAUUAGCAGCCAUCUAAAGAGAGCUUUUAUGACUUAUUCAACAAUGUUGUCUGAAAGAGUUUCUCCCAAUAUUGAAACUUACAAUCUUCUAUUAGGUGGUCUCUCUAAAGCUGGGUUAAUACACGAGGCAGAUGACCUACUUAGUGAGAUAAAGAAAAGGGGCUUAGUUCCUAAUGCUUGUACCUAUGAAACUUUGAUGUGCGGCCAUUGCAAGGUCGGAAAUACAAAGGAAUGUUUAAGAAUCUAUUGUGAGAUGGUAAUUAAAGGAUUUAUUCCAAAACCAAGAGCGUAUAAUAUGCUCAUUGGCUAUUUUUCUAAGAUGGGAAAAAUGAAACAAGCUAAUGAGCUCAUGAAUGAGAUGCAGACAAAAGGUGUAUCGCCCACUUCUACCACAUAUGACAUACUGAUCUGUGGGUGGUGCAAUCUGUUGAAAAUGCCAGAUCUGGGUAGGACACUAAAAAUAUCAUCCCGAGCUGAGGCGAAAAGAUUAUUCAUUGAGAUGAAUGAUCGAGGGUUUGUUCCAAGUGAAAGUACUCUGGCUUGCAUUAGUUCUACAUUUGCUGCACCUGGGAAGAAGGCUGAUGCUCGCAUGUUAUUGAAGAGCACAUACAAGAGAAAGUGCGAGUGAGAUAUGUUUGUUGUAGGGGCUGAAUUCCUUCAAAUAGAAAUAUGCAUUAAGAGGGGCAAAAUAGUCAAACAGUGCAAAAAUGACCCAAUACCGAGCAAAAGAGCACAAAAUGAUGAAAGUUGAACAUAAUUAUGAAAUUGCCCCUGGAGUACAGCUGCUCUCACCAGUGCGCUGAAGAUCCGAGAGCCCUUGAAGGGUGCCAUCGCGCAAUCUUGGUGCGCCGCUGCGCUACGAAAAUUUCACCCAACACCACUGCGCGAUGUAACUUUCCGAGAAAAAAGAUAGGUGCAUGCCUCGCCUAUUUUUCCAGAUUUCUGACAUAAGUUAUCGGUUUUCAUUAGAACACUGUAAUUCUCUCUUAAAAUUCAAUAAAAAUUCUCUCAAUCUCUUUGAAAUUGGCUUUUGAAAUUCAUCGUGAUUCUUGAAGCUUUCCCAAGAAGAAUGAAAAACUAGAGGUAACUUUCCUUGAGAAUAGGGAUUUAGAGUUGAUUUUCUUGAGAAUCCAUGUUUUAAUUAUUGAAUUAGAUGCUUUCUUGAUUGGAUUCUAUGCUUUAUCUUUAAUGGAUUUUGUGUUAAAUCGAUUUACAGCUCCUAAGACUUGCAUUCUUGUUUGCAUAAUUCAAAUAGCGUUAUGCAAAACUGUUUGAAUUAAGUUGCAUAAAUUAGUGAUUCUUGAUUAGGUUUUAAGACUAUUUCUUUGAUCUUUUUCUUGCAUUAUCUAAUUGAAUUCAAUCAACAAUUAUUCUUUUGAUGUAGGACUUUCUUGCUUUAGAAUGUCACAACCUUGAACCCUAAAAUAUUAAUGCAAAUUUUGAUUAUGCAUGAAAUCUGCUAAGAUAAAAAUGCACAUAUGAAGAAUUUAAUUUGAAUUUAAAGUGAUUCCUGUUCAAUAAAUUCAAAAUGUACUAUUUCUUUCAUGUUGCAUAGGGGUUUGCAAGAUGUAAUUUUAUUUAUUCAUUUCUACAUGAACUGUUAGAAAGUUGGAGGAAGGAAAAAGGAAAAAUAGAAUAUUGUCUUCAAAUUAGAAGCAAGAAGACUUAUUGCAUGCUCCUCCUUGCUGACAAUGCAACAAGGUUGACCGCGUUUUCAAAGCAUUUCAUGGGGAUUUUGAAAGAUUCAGGAAAAAGAUGAUUGGGCACUAUUAAGAGGAACUAAUUCUCAGCCUUAAACCUGCCUAAUUCUUAUUGACGAUGAUGGUCGACGGAAUGACUUUAUAGACAUUGCAAUGAAGGAAGUAGCUGGAAGAAUAAGCCAUAAGAAUAUAACAGAGUAGAUUUUUCUUAAAAAAAUCGUUUUGUGCUUGCUUGUCAAGGGUUGCGAGACUUGAUCAGGGAGUUCCUCCUCCAUUUGCUUUUUAUUGAGAAAGAUCAUUUUUGGUAUGCAGCGGAGUAUGCUUUGUUAUAAGAUCUUUGAGGGUGAGAAAAAUACAGUGGUAGGCCUCUUGUAAUGUUUGGUCCUUGUCGAGGUAUGUUCCUCUUACUUCAAAAAGUCGAAGGCUUUUGUGGGCUUACUUCUUUUGUAUGCCCUUGAAUUUGUUCACCGAUUCUCGAUAUGUCUUUAUUUUCAUAAAACAAAAAUCAAAAGAAUAAUCUUAUCAUCAUUUUCUCA